UCACUUUGGCAGCAAAUAGACUAAAACUGAAAGGACACAGAGAAGAUUAACAUGGCCCCUCUGCAAGGAUGACAUGCAAAUUCGUGAAGUGUUCCAUUAAAAA